GACGAACGCUGGCGGCGUGCUUAACACAUGCAAGUCGAGCGGUAAGGCCCUUUCGGGGGUACACGAGCGGCGAACGGGUGAGUAACACGUGGGUGACCUGCCCUCAGCUCUGGGAUAAGCCUGGGAAACCGGGUCUAAUACUGGAUAUGACUCCAUGGCGCAUGUUGUGGGGUGGAAAGCCUUGUGCGGCUGAGGAUGGGCCCGCGGCCUAUCAGCUUGUUGGUGGGGUGANGGCCUACCAAGGCGACGACGGGUAGCCGGCCUGAGAGGGCGACCGGCCACACUGGGACUGAGACACGGCCCAGACUCCUACGGGAGGCAGCAGUGGGGAAUCUUGCGCAAUGGGCGAAAGCCUGACGCAGCGACGCCGCGUGAGGGAUGACGGCCUCGGUUGUAAC
rnacentral:rRNA from 1 species